ensembl:lncRNA
CCCCAAAGGCUGGGAGUUCCCGCAGCCAGCUGGCUUCCCCGAGGCUGGUUCCAGGCCCCACAGCGGACGGGUUGGGGGUGGGCGCGGCAGGAGGGAUAUCAGUCAGAUCUGCAUAUACUUCCGGGAGGGGGGGAAAGGGGGGCCAGCCAGGGGCUCCUUCCUGGAAGGCCUCGUCUGCCUGCAGGGCCGAGACGCCAGUGACCAGCACAUCGUGACCGUGAUGAUGAAGAUGAUGCAAGAGCAACUGGCAGAGGUCGCUGUGAGUGCCAAGCGGGAGGCCCUGGGUGCAGUCGGGAUGGUGGGUCCUCCAGGACCCCCUGGGCCUCCCGGAUAUCCGGGCAAGCAGGGACCCCAUGGGCACCCUGGCCCUCGGGGAGUUCCUGGCAUCGUGGGAGCCGUGGGUCAGAUUGGCAACACAGGGCCCAAGGGAAAACGUGGAGAAAAGGGUGACCAGGGAGAGAUGGGACGCGGGCAUCCCGGGAUGCCUGGGCCCCCGGGGAUCCCAGGACUCCCUGGCCGGCCCGGCCAGGCAAUCAACGGCAAGGAUGGAGCUCGAGGGUCCCCAGGGGCCCCGGGAGAAGCAGGCCGACCAGGCCUACCAGGCCCCGUGGGGCUGCCAGGCUUUUGUGAGCCUGCGGCCUGCCUUGGAGCCUCAGCCUACGCCUCUGCACGCCUCACGGAGCCUGGAUCCAUCAAAGGGCCAUGAGCAUGAGGCUAGGACAGAGCCUGGCGGGCAUCCUGGGGGGAAAGGACUAGGUUCCUCUGGGUGGACAUGCAUCCCAUCCCUCAGACCAGGAGGCCAGCUUUCCCAGGACCUUCCGUCUGGGACCCUGGAGUCCUGAGGAAAAGGAAAUUCUAAAAUAUGGGGAAGGGAAGGGAGGGCAUUGGAAUGAAAAGGUUGAGGCCAACAGACAGGGCAAGUGUGACUGGAGAGUCCCAGCUCCGAAGAGAUGAGUGGCUUUCCUUCCCACAGCACGACUCAGAAGUUACCAAAACAAAUGUCUCCCUAAUCUGUGCCAUCCUCCAGUGGCCAUCCUCUUUAGGGCAGGUGGACUGAGGUCUCUGCCGGUCCCUGAUCCCACCUUCCUCCCCUGAACUUGCUGGGUGACUGCUGGCGGGGGACUACCCUGAGGUAGCCGUCCUAGAGCCAACCCGACUACUUUCUCCCUGCCUCCCUCCCAUCUGAGUAUUUAAACACCCUUUCCCCUUCUCUUCCUGGCAUGACCCCCUCCCACCCACCCCGAGAUCCACCCAGGCCUUUCUGUAAAUAAAAGCCCCUGACUUGGGUACA